AGAGUAGAAUGCAGCCAAGGAUGACUUGCCGGCAUUUCCUCCUAGGUAGCUAGCAAGCCUUCUAUUUGGCAUGCCUGUCCGGCAGGUUGUCCUUGGCUAAAUUUUGUUCUCU
rfam:Populus trichocarpa scaffold_414_contig_2, whole genome shotgun sequence.